rnacentral:rRNA from 1 species
UACAGAGGUCUCAAGCGUUGUUCGGAUUCAUUGGGCGUAAAGGGUGUGUAGGUGGCGCCGUAAGUCGGGUGUGAAAUUUCGGAGCUUAACUCCGAAACCGCAUUCGAUACUGCGGUGCUUGAGGACUGGAGAGGAGACUGGAAUUCAUGGUGUAGCAGUGAAAUGCGUAGAGAUCAUGAGGAAGACCAGUGGCGAAGGCGGGUCUCUGGACAGUUCCUGACACUGAGACACGAAGGCCAGGGGAGCAAACGGG